UUAGAGACCAGUCUCUCGCUCUAUCUGUCUCUCCCCCUUCUCUCUAGAACCUUCUGGUUCACCUUCUGCGAUGGCUUUCACUGUCUCUCCGCCCACCUCCAACCUCACCUCUUUUGACGACCAGCCACCGUGGAGCCUUACUUUGUGGGUUCUCUCCACUUCUGAUACCUCAUGAGUCUCCUCCAUGCAACACAGUCACUGGAGCUUUGCUGAGGUUUGUUUCCAGCCUUUCUCCAAUGGAUUCUAGUCCGAUGGUGCUGUAAACACCAUUAUUCUCGAGUUUCACAGCCAGGUUUCUCUUGUUUCUCUCACUAGUUUCUUAUGAAACCCUAAUCUCGGUCCAAACCUCUCAAACCUCUGAUUUUUGAAUGAUUUUUUACUCGUACCUUUAUGUUUUGCACUAUUUUUUACUCGAUCUUCACGAUUAGUCCGGUUUUUAAUGUUUCCGUUCCCUUCUUGAAACUAGGGUUUCUUAACCCUUUGUCAAAAUACCUUAUCUUUUGAUUUUAAGUACUAAUCUAUUAUUCCCAGUACGAUUUCUAAACUAUUUUUUUGCUUAAGUCUGAUGAAACCCUAGCCUUAUAUGUUUGUAUUUGUAUUAUUUGCUUGUCCGUGUGUUCUUCUGGAUUCUUCUCUGAGUUUUAUGCACUUUGCUUUAAUUUUGUUGCUCGUGUUCAGUCCCCUACUGUUCUGUGUUCUCUGCUUAGGGUUCUCUACGACAUUGUUCAGUAUGGGCUAUGUAUCAUUUUCUAAAAUUGACCAUUCGUCCUACUGACUGUUUACAUGGUGAUUUAUACUGAUUCAUACAAGCUCUCUUUAAGACUGUGAUUACUCGCCUUAAAUUGUGAUUUUGUGUAUUCUCAUUAUAAAUUGGAAUUGAUUCUGAAUUGUAUCCUUAAUUCAUAUCUUUUUGGGACACCUUCCUCAAUCAAUAUUGAUCCCUUAAGUUUUCAAUCUCGUUCAUUAUUUUUGAAAACUAUUUUCCAAAAUUACAGUGAUACUCUGCCUAUAUAUGUGUACAAAUUUGUUGAUUGAUUUGCGUGAAAUAUUUCCCUAAUUAAGUAUCAUGGACCUAGUCUUCAUUGUAUACCUUAUACUAUUCUAUUUUCUUAUGUGAUCAUACCAUGCUUUCUGAUUCCUUUUCUUUUAAAAUAACUGCUUAUUACCAUUUGACUUUGAUUCCUUAAUUAAAGGAGAGUUAAUAUGCUGAUUUGAUUAUGAUUGAUACCCAGUUCCUUAAUUAGGGACUGCUACCUUGUUUAUUUACUCAUAUUCAGUACUAUAACUACUCCCCAUUCUCUUUUUCAUAAACGCGACAACUGACACACUGCAUAUCACAAACACAGACACAGUAAUCACAUUGCUCUCCCUUGUGCUAUUUCUCUACUUUUCUCGUUUGUGCUGUUGUUGCUCAUUGUUCUUGACUAUUACUAGCUGGCUGAAAAGCCAAGGCUAAUAUUGUGCUCACAUUUGGCUCUUGCAUUCUGUUGUGCUCUCUUUGUUGCUGGUACGUUCUGAUUAAAUUCUAUUUUCCAAACCAAUGUGGUCAUUGUUACUUCAGUAUGUUCUAUUCCUAAUUGUUUUCUUCUUGUGCUUCUGCUGUGCAACCUGUGAUUAAUUCCUGGGCUGCCUAUUGAAACUUACACGCUCAUCACUACUGUUUACCUAUUAUGGCUGCAUGUUGGUACUAUUUACUUUGGUGUCUCAAUUUGUCUAUUUCAAGGCCUCUUAAAUCUCUUUGAUUCUGUAAGUUUGCAUGUUUGUACCCUUUACCCAUUACCCUUGUGUGCAACCAUGCUCUUACAUGCGAACUACUUGUCUCAUUUCCCCUUUCCCUAUUUGUGUUUGCUUUCCUGAACUAGGGUUGAUAUUCCAGUUCUGAAAUUGUCCUACUCCUCUUCUUACAAAAUUGUCAUACUCUGCUACUAUUUUCUUUCCAAAUAUUCUUUAGGGAUCAUUUUCAAACUGUUUUAUCUCAACUUAAUUUCUUUAAAAAAUAUAUCACGCACUCUCACUAUUCUUAGAGAUUAGGCUCUAACUCCUUAGUGUAAGCAUUGCUUUGGGUAUCCAUGAGUACCUACUGAACUUUGAUGCACAAGGCUGGUAAUUCCACACUGCACAUGUCCAACAAUUUUGGCAAGUGUUUGGGUGCUGUUAUUGGCCAGGGACCCAAUGGGGGAUCUUAGGGACCUUUGCCGCACUCAGACUAUGGCAAAGGCUGUGAAACUCGAAAGGAGUGAGGUUGGAAGAAUGGACUGACUGAAGGCUACCUAUUUAAUAACUUCUUUUUUUCUUUUUUUACUGUAAUUCAGCUAUCCUUGGUUUGUAAUAAUUUGUAAACGAAUGAUUGGGGCUAAAUAAUGAAUAUGGGGGGGUUAUGCACGCUUAGUUUAAG
rnacentral:lncRNA from 1 species